AAAUUCAUCCUUCCUAUAACAUUUAUGACUAAAAUUAUAUCAGUGACCCUAGCAACCGUUCUUCCUUUCAUCAUCCCCCUCUCCAGCACCUCUGCUUCCCAUCAGUGCUGUCACCAGCAGUGUCGCCGUGAGAGACUCUGACAGAGUCACAGGAGCACAGAAACCACCACGCCCAGGGCUAGAGGUGCCUUGGUCUGAGCACGUGUUGGUGCCAACACUUGUGAGGGUUUCAGCCUGUCUGGAGCACCGAGUGUUACAUCAGCCUGGUAAUGGUAACCUAAGCUACCAGCAGCAGGGAGGCGUUUGUGCUGUGCUUUGCUGCGAGCAGCGCUCAGAGCCUGUGACACUGUCUGACACUGACUGAUUAAGAUACAGGUGCUGUGGUGCUGUCAGGAAAGAAGAAAGAGGACUUGCCGUGCUGUUGUUGCUCAUGGAUCUCCAGCAGGGCAGCAGCCAGACACCGGUGCACAGCAGCACCGUGCUCUUCCACCUCUUCGGAGAAUUACUUUCCAGUCAACCUGAGGAGAUGAAGAACACACCUCGUUUUUAACACAGCCUGUCCCUCCACACAGACUCCAAAGUCUGUGUAUCACAGCACUGAGAAGCCCCAGGUGGCACUGAAAUCCCAGUGGGAAUGUAGUACAAGUCAAUGAAGUGGCAAUAAAUUGUCUCACCUUGAUCAGCUCUGUGGAUACAGGAGAGGAAUAGAGGAAGCCUUCCCUCUGUUCUUGCAGAAGACUCAAAGAAUCCCUGAAGAACUACUUUAGGAUGGCUUUUUCACCAUCAGCUGACAGGGACCUGCAGGAAGCCAAUCUUGAGCAAAAGGACUUCCACAACAAUCACUGUGCAUCUAAACCCAGAACAUUAUUCCUACAAUGAGGAUCCUGCAUUGAUUCCAAAGAAGACCCAGGCCCCUAUUGUGCUAGGCACUAUAGCAACAGACAGUAAAAGGCAGUCCUUGUUCCUAAAGACCUUUCUAUCUAAACAGACAAGACACUGCCAGAGAUUUAUCUUUUAUUCUUCCAUUUAUAACAGUUGCAAAACAACUUGGAUGAAGAAUAAAAAUUGCAAUGAAUAGGACGUGAUGAUCCCAGCUGUGGGAUGAAUCCAUAUGGAGGUGGGAAACCUCAAUCCAGUGAAAGCAUGGAGGGGUAUAAUCCUGAACCAGCUGAAGCAAUGUGAGAACUCUACAGACUCUACUGGGAGCCAGGAUUUCCCCUCUCUGUCCAUGUUCACCAGGUGUGUGUGUGCAUAACACAAUGCAGAGCUGUAGAGGUAUUUCCAAGCUCCCUGGCACCAGAAGCAGCGCCACUGCUCCCAUCGGGGGCUGAGCCCGGUGCUGUCACUGCUGCCACUGAGCUCAGUGCCUGGAUUGCUGUGGUGUGUGUGAGCACAGCCCCAGCCCUGCUGCACUGGGCUUCCUGCAGAGCUGCCUGCAACAGUGCACCGCAGAGGGCUCACAGGGGUCACUGCUCUGGCACCAAACCACUGACCUGCCAGUGACAGUAAGCUGAAUGAUUAAUUAUGGUCUACAGCACUCCAUGGUCUACAGUGCAGGGGCUAUUUAGGUGACAGUGGACUCCCUGAACAUACUGUGUUUCUUGCUGCAAGUCUUUUCUCUAAGGGAUACAGACUAAAAAUAUUCCUGAGGUACAGCUCAUAAACAGAACUGUCCCCUGCUCUGAUCUUGCUGAUGCUCUAUGUUGUUAUUUACUUAAAUUGCAUAGCUCCCUAGCACUAACAGGAGACUCUGGUAACUUAUUUCUUGUAUUUUGGAAGCAAUGCAAUGCACAAUAAAGCAGAGAUAA
ensembl:lncRNA